rnacentral:rRNA from 1 species
CGUAGGGUGCAAGCGUUAAUCGGAAUUACUGGGCGUAAAGCGUGCGCAGGCGGUUUUCCAAGACCGAUGUGAAAUCCCCGGGCUUAACCUGGGAAUGGCAUUGGUGACUGGGAGGCUAGAGUGUGUCAGAGGGGGGUAGAAUUCCACGUGUAGCAGUGAAAUGCGUAGAGAUGUGGAGGAAUACCGAUGGCGAAGGCAGCCCCCUGGGAUAACACUGACGCUCAGGCACGAAAGCGUGGGGAGCAAACAGGAUUAGAUACCCUGGUAGUCCACGCCCUAAACGAUGUCAACUAGUUGUCGGGUCUUAAUUGACUUGGUAACGCAGCUAACGCGUGAAGUUGACCGCCGUGGGGAGUACGGUCGCAAGAUUA